CGGGCCGGCAUGCCUUUGCUGCUGGCCGGAGCUCUUUUCACAUUGUGCUACUGUCUAACGUGUACCGAGCAGUGCAAUGUUAAAAGGGCAUCGGCCUUGUAGUACUACCCAGUGCCGGCAG
rnacentral:precursor_RNA from 7 species